GGAGGAAUAUUGGACAAUGGGCGCAAGCCUGAUCCAGCCAUGCCGCGUGAGUGAUGAAGGCCUUAGGGUUGUAAAACUCUUUUAGUGGGGAAAAUAAUGAUGGUACCCACAGAAAAAGCUCCGGCUAACUUCGUGCCAGCAGCCGCGGUAAUACGAAGGGAGCUAGCGUUACUCGGAAUCACUGGGCGUAAAGCGCAUGUAGGCGGAACUACAAGUCAGGGGUGAAAUCCCAAGGCUCAACCUUGGAAUU
rnacentral:rRNA from 1 species